GAGAAUGUUGAGCGAUAUUCUUCUGGUCUGCAGCCAUCAAUCGGACUUUUUGGUUUGUCCUUCGCCAUUCUGAGUAAAGCUGGCAGUGAUAGCGGAAUGAAACCUUUGGGCAAAAACCAACAUGUAUUAUUCUUAAAGAUUCAGAGAAAAAUGGCCAUCAGCAUCAAGUAGUGGAUCAUGCAUCACCAUACUAGACCGGAGUGGCAGUUCUAUAUAGGGCUACUGCAAGCCACACUGCAGAUUGCUAGGGGUGUUUCCCUAGAGGAACAACUAACAACCACAACUUUGUAAGUGACUUUCCAGAUCUGUGCUCCUGACACUUAGAAUGACAACAGCAGCAGAUGCGUGGAAUGAUACCAAUUUCAAGUUCUUCUGCACAUGGAAGUGUUUGGCUCACCAUUGUGCCAGGAAGUCUACAGUUCAAAGUUUAAGAUCCCCAAUUCAAAAAUAUGAUAUCAUCUUGAUUUCAUAUUUCUUUGAGGAUAUUGGAAGGACAGUUGGAAAGACAGGUAGAGUGCUGAAAGAUGGAAUUUAAUCCAGACAAUUGUGAGGUAAUGCAUUUGACGAGGAGAAGAUGGUGACACAACGGAGCGCACAUGGACUCUCCGGUGAAUGACAUGUGUAAUCUGUCAAGUAGGGGACCGUGCACAAUUUUGAUUUGAUGGAGACAGGCGUGACAGUACGGAGGAACAUCUGGAGAAACUUCUGAAAUGCCAGCUUCACUGCCGCUGCUACUGUGUGGUAACCGGAAUCUCCGGAGCAGAAGGCCCCCAAUCCUCAGCUUUGCUUGUUUCAGCGGCCGGGGCUAGGUCAAAGGCACUCGGGAGGCUGUAUUGGGGGGCUGGUCGGAGGCUCGAAGUUUUCGAUGGACGGACUCGGUGUUGGCUGCUUCCAAGGCAUCGGCAGUUGUCAGUGCCUUGGAAGUUUAUGGCAGGGAGUUUCUCCCUUUGCCGCUUGCUAUUGGGGACUUGGGAGUCGAUCGAGACUUGAGACUUUUUCUUACCAUGCCCAUGGUCUGUUCUUUAUCAAAUUAUGGUACUGUUUUGCACUGCUGUAACUAUAUGCUAUAAUUAUGUGGUUUUGUCAGUGUUAGUCUUUGGUUUGUCCUGUUUUCUGUGAUAUCACUCUGGAGGAACAUUGUAUCAUUUCUUAAUGCAUGUAUGCAUUUCUAAAUGACAAUAAAAGAGGACUGAGUGUUCUCAUAAUCUAAAUACUAACAAGACAUACAAGUUAACCAGCAGAAACUUCAGGAGUGUUGAUAUACAGGAGGACCUUGGGCUGCAUGUAGCUAAGGUAGGGAAGAAAGUAUUCAGCAUGCUCGGUUUCAUGGACCAAGAAACUGAGUAUAAGACUUGGGAUGCUAUGCUGCAUUUGUUCAAACAUUGGUCAGGCCUCACUUGGAGUGUUGUGCAGAGCUCUGGUCAAGAAGCUACAAGGUGGAUGUGGUAGCAUCAGGAAGAAUGCAGAAGAGAUUCAUCAGGAUGUUACACCUAGAAUGGAGGGCUGUGGCUGUGGUUAUAUGGAGAGUUUAAAUAGACUGGGUUUAUUCUCACUAAAAACUCAGCUGAGGAAUGUUUAUAAGAUGACGGGGGGCAUAGACUUAGUCAAAAUCUUCUUAGGGCGGAGGAAUCUUCAACUAGAAGACACAUGUUAAAGAUGAGAGAGGAAAAAUUUAAAGAUCUUAGGAGCAAGUAUUUCCAUUCAGAGGAUGGAGGUUAGAUAAGUAAACUAACAGAAGAAACAGUAGAGCCAGAUGCUAUAACAAUGGUUAGAUGGCAUUUAGGCAGGUACUUGCAUUGGAAAGGAGUAGAAGGAUACAAGUCUAAUCCAGGCAAAUGGAAUUUGCCUAGAGAGGCAUCACAGUCAACAUGGACAAGGUGGGCAGAAGGGUCCAUUCCUACACUGCACAAUUCUAUAACUCAAAAGACAGAUUCAUCAUCUAUCGAAUUAUUGUUGUGUUACUUUUUUAAAAAUUCUGCAUUCAAUCUCCAAGAUGUAUUACAAAAGACAAAGUAGACCUUUUAAUAUAAAUGAAAUGGGAGCCUAGACUAGUAACAAAGCUAUUAAAAUAAUUAUUCUAUAAUUGCAUAUUUGCAAAACACACAUGCACACAGAAAGGUGAGAAAAGGAGAAGUAUUUCUUUCAACCUAGCAAAAUGAGUGAGAUUAUAUGAGUGGAAUAAUUCAGUAAUG